UACGUAGGGAGCAAGCGUUGUCCGGAAUCACUGGGCGUAAAGCGCACGUAGGCGGCUUUCUAAGUCAGGGGUGAAAUCCUGGAGCUCAACUCCAGAACUGCCUUUGAUACUGGGGAGCUCGAGUCCGGAAGAGGUGAGUGGAACUCCGAGUGUAGAGGUGAAAUUCGUAGAUAUUCGGAAGAACACCAGUGGCGAAGGCGGCUCACUGGUCCGGUACUGACGCUGAGGUGCGAAAGCGUGGGGAGCAAACAGG
rnacentral:rRNA from 1 species